rnacentral:rRNA from 1 species
AGCGAACGCUGGCGGCAGGCCUAACACAUGCAAGUCGAACGAACCUUUCGGGGUUAGUGGCGGACGGGUGAGUAACACGUGGGAACGUGCCUUUAGGUUCGGAAUAACUCAGGGAAACUUGUGCUAACACCGAAUGUGCCCUUCGGGGGAAAGAUUAAUCGCCUUUAGAGCGGCCCGCGUCUGAUUAGCUAGUUGGUUGAGGUAAUGGCUCACCAAGGCGACGAUCAGUAGCUGGUCUGAGAGGAUGAUCAGCCACAUUGGGACUGAGACACGGCCCAAACUCCUACGGGAGGCAGCAGUGGGGAAUCUUGCGCAAUGGGCGAAAGCCUGACGCAGCCAUGCCGCGUGAAUGAUGAAGGUCUUAGGAUUGUAAAAUUCUUUCACCGGGGACGAUAAUGACGGUACCCGGAGAAGAAGCCCCGGCUAACUUCGUG